rnacentral:rRNA from 1 species
AGCGAACGUUAGCGGCGGGCUUAACACAUGCAAGUCGAGCGAGAAAGGGGCUUCGGCCCUGAGUACAGCGGCGGACGGGUGAAUAACACGUAGGUAACCUUCCUUUCAGCGGGGGACAACGGUCCGAAAGGACCGCUAAUACCGCAUACGUUCCCUGGGACCUCGGUCCUGGGGAGGAAAGGCCCGCAAGGGCCACUGGAUGAGGGGCCUGCGUAGCAUCAGCUAGUUGGUGGGGUAAUGGCCUACCAAGGCGAAGACGCUUAGCUGGCCUGAGAGGAUGAUCAGCCACACUGGGACUGAGACACGGCCCAGACUCCUACGGGAGGCAGCAGUGGGGAAUAUUGGACAAUGGGCGCAAGCCUGAUCCAGCCACGCCGCGUGAGUGAUGAAGGCCUUCGGUCGUAAAGCUCUGUGGGGAGGGACGAACCGCCACCGGUUAAUACCCGGUGGCAUGACGGUACCUCCUUAGCAAGCACCGGCUAAC